rnacentral:misc_RNA from 1 species
AAGUCGUAACAAGGUAACCGUAGGUGAACCUGCGGUUGGAUCAUUAAAAUUUAGAGUUUUAGAACUCGCACUAAUUCACUUUCGAGUGGAUUGGUAAACCCCUGUGCACUGUUUGUUCUUUGAGUAUUAGUACUUGUGCUAGUAUUUGAAGAAUCUCUACUUUAUAUACUGACUGAAUCAUUAGAUUUUAAUUAAAAACAACUUUUAACAACGGAUCUCUUGGCUCUCG